AUAAAACUCUUGCUUUUGUUCCUUCCAUCAUUUUUUUUUUUCAAAAUAGAAUAAAAUCUUCAUUCUGAGAAUGAUAUUGAAAGUGAAAGUGAAACUCUUUAGAUUUCAAGCUGUUAAAAAUAUUUUAUUUUGUUUUUUAAAGGUAUUUUGUUUGGAUUCUUCCACAAAAUUACAAGCUGAUUGUUUGUCUAUUAACUAUAGAUUCUUUAAACUGUUUUUUUCAAAACAAAAACCUAUGAAUAAUCAACAAAAGUUCACAAAAAUGGAAAUGAGAAUUUAUUUAAUAAGUAUCAGUACCAUAUUGAUUUAUUAAGGUCUACUUCUAUAUUCCUGGAUAUGCUGUAUGUAAGCAUAAUUGUAUGCUAUGUUACUGUUUAACUUUAGACAACUUACCUGACUCCAAAAGGUCAACAUCUCCAAAAGGUUUUCAAACUGACAAAAGUGUUCAUGAAAUGUUGAUUCCAUCUAUAAACCAAGAUAUUGUUGUUAAUAGUUCACAUAAACAAUCUCAAAGAGUUGAGUUUCUCCUUUUACACCUGCUAUUGCUGUUGUAAGUACUCAAAAUUUUAGGAAGUUCUAUUGCUAUGCCAAAAAAGUGUUGUGUAUAUGGCUGCAAAACUAAUUAUCAAAGUACCAAAAACAAUAAAAGCUUUAAAAAAAUACCAGUUUACCGUUUUCCUAAAGAUAAAGAACAAAGAAAUAUUUGGAUAAAAAGUAUUCCGAAUUCUAAUUUUUUAGUUUCAGAUGAAACUGCUAUUUGCCAAUCACAUUGGCCAACAAUUUUUAAAAAAGUUACUGUUCAAGAAAAUCAAAGACCAAAAAUGCCACCAUCUGUUUGGCCAGGAAUACCUUCAAGUCAAAUACCCACUCCAUUACUACCUCAUCGCACAAUACAGAAAUCUUUGAGCAUUGUUAGAAAUGUCAGAACUGAUGAACUUAGCACUUUUUUAUUGGCUGAUACAGCAACAUAUAUUGAUUUUAAAAAAUAAUCUCAAGGUUUUUUCAAUUUUAGUAAUAACAAAUAUGAUUGAAAAAACAGUAAAUGUUCAAUCUAUAACAUUUUAUGAUGGUGCUCCUUUAUUUCUUGUUAAAAUUUUUGAGAGUUUACAUUUUGGAACAUUUUAUUGUGAAAUAAAAUGUUUUGAAUAAUGUUUGUGUAAAAAUCGUAUAAAUAUUGUUGCUACCUGGUCAAAGUUUGAUGAAAUACUACAUUUUUUAAAUGUCAUAGAAAUAGAUCAUAAAAAAAACAUUCAGCAACAAAUAUCAGUUAUGUCUGCAAAGCUUAUUGGAAAAAAAGUAUAUGAAUCAGAUACAAUCAUACGUAGCUUUGAAUAUUUUUCAAGAUCUCGUUCUUUAUACAAUAAACUAAGAAACGAUUUUCAAUUGCCAUCAGCUAGUACUUUGACACAAAUAACAUCAAAAGUUUGCAAAAUUGAUGAUGCUAGUUUCUUAGACUCAAAAUUAUUAGUUUUCAAAAAUAUUGAAGAAAAACAAAAAAUUUGUAUAAUUAUUCAUGAUGAAGUAUAUGUCAAAAAAAUGAUGCUUUACCAAGUGGAACAUUGUUUGGUAAAUCUUCAGAUGAUCCAUUAUUAUUGGCUAAAACUGAGUUGGGAAUUAUGAUAGUAUGUUGUUUUUUUUUUCAAAAUUUUUCUAUAAGAUGAUUCCAAUUUCAAAAUUAAGUUCAAAUUUUCUGUUUCAACAAAUAAAUUCUAGCAUAAAACUUAUAAAAUCAUCAUCUGGCGAUGUAAAAGUUGUUAUCUGUGAUGGUAAUCGUGUAAGCCAAGCAUUUUUAAAAUUAUAUCGUAUUAUUCCAGAAAAACCUUGGAAAACAGAAGAUGUAAAGAUGUAUUUUCUGUUUGACUUUGUUCAUUUUUUGAAAAACAUUAGGAAACUAUGGCUUACAGAAAAAACUGUGGAACUAGUGUACAGUGAUAAUGGUAUUCAAAGAACAGCUAAAUUGGAGCACCUUAAAUGCUUAUAUCAAUUAGAAUCAGGAAAGUUAGUCAAAUUGUCAGACUUAAAUGAAAUCGCAAUAGCUCCCAAGCCGAUUGAAAGGCAAAAUGUAUCUACUUGUCUUAAAGUUUUUUCAGAUAAGACAUAUCAUGCAUUGCUUACCUAUUCUCAAAUAAUUUUAAAUUCUAAGGAUACUGCAAUAUUUAUAAAUUAAGUAAUAACCUGGUGGAAAAUUUUAAAUGUGAAAGAUUGUGGAGCUGAUGUAAGACACAAUGAUCCACUAGAAGCACCUAUUUGUAGUCUUGAUGAUUGCCGUCUUAAUACUUUACUUCAGUUUGGUGAUAUGGCUCUCUAAAUGUGUUGUAAAAAUGGCAAAAGAGUAAAGCAGUUAUCUAAUGAUACUGCAAAAUCAAUUCACCAUACUUGCUAUGGUAUUGUUCAACCAAACAUUAUUUUAUUAUGAAAAAUUUGGCAAGUACCUCAAGUCUAUAGAUCGCGGUGGUCUUAAAAUUCCACCAGACAAUUUUUUUUUUUGCAUUGCCUUAUUCCAUUCAAUAAAAGAUAAAGUUUGUCGUAAAUCCUUAAGUGAUAUUUUUCUGCUGGUUUCUGAAUUUUACUAUUUUGAAAUUAAUCAAAAACAUUGCAACACACUUGCUAAUAUAUUUUUAAAUAAUUUUUGUGCACAAACCACACCAAGAUCUAAUAAAGAACCUGCAUUAAAAGUUUUAAAGUUAUAAAUUUUUUUAGAAAA
rnacentral:misc_RNA from 1 species